GCUUGUUAGCUCAAUUGGCAGAGCAUGAGAUUAAUAAUCUCAGGGUUGUGGGUUCGAGCCCCACCUUGGGCA